GUAAGACUUAGCAGAGGCUGUAACCAGCUGCGGUGCCAACUAUUUUUCCUAUGGCCAUUAGGACCUCCACCGCCAGCAAGAGAACUAAAUCUCGUAGCCGCCACGAUGCAGCAGCGAAGCGGCGCAGACAAGAGGAGGAAGUCGGACUAUUUGGAGACAACUCAUGCAAGCACAGGGAGCUCGUGCAAACUCCACGCAAAAAGUUAUGAGAGACAUCUGUGGUCGGAUGGGAAAAUGUUCACCAAGCCAAGUCACCCAAGUGUCACUGUGAUGUGGGUGUGGGAUACAGCUGCAUACAGUACGGGCCUCCUGCUUCGCUUCCAGAGAAUCUGAAUGGUCUGACCCAUUCAUAAUAUCUGGUGGGUAGCCACAAUUUAUGUCCACUCACACUAAAUCAAAACUCAACGGUACUGCUGAUGCCUUAAAAAAAUAAAUAAAUGUUUUAAUGAAAUGAAAAAUUAAAAUCUGGCAAUAAAAUAUGAAAAACUAAUUCUGUCACAUUUACUGAUAUUUUUAAAGGCCAUUGUCAUUUAUCUCAGUGGGUCUAAUAUAAUACAACUUAAUUUAAGACAGUAACAUGUGGUGAACACACCAAUGCAUCUCAGCAAAGCAGUGUAGUGUCUGCAUUUAAAACAAAACUCAGAAAAGCUAAACAAACACCCCAAGCAGUUUGAGGAGCAGUAAUGAGUGAAGUUGUAAGAAGAUGGUGAGAACGCUCCAAGAAGUUGGCCUCCUGUUGAGAGGGAGAAUUUCCUGUUUAUGCAUCUCGCUAACGGGGGCUUGGUCCUUUCUAACAGAACACAGGAAUGAGGGGAAGACAUGCACCUUGGAAAGUGUUGGUGCCCAAUUUCUCCUCAAAUACAGCUUGCUUACCAGUAAAUGCACAAUGCACAUGUCAAA